rnacentral:lncRNA from 1 species
GUGGUGUCACCGUCAACCCAAGACCUCAAUAACACAUAAAUUGCAACUCCAAUCUCAAAAACAAGGCCAACAAGAUGCCUUAGCCACAACUCAUUGUCUUCUAAGGAGUAGGCAGUAAUAGUGUCUGAGCCACCGAGGUGCAAGAGAAGGAAUGGAGCCCAAAAUGACUGCAGUGAGUGGUUUUGAUUUGGAGCAUUACUUCCCAGGGACCUGGCAAGAAUGCCCAAUGCAACAGUUGCCACCCAAUCUGCUGACAAGUAUGCAGACCAAACAAGGAAGUUGAUCCAUGUACUUGUCGUACUCUUUCUUUUGGAACCAAAGGCAACGAGUAUUACCUGUAAUGAGAGGCUGAGCAAAACCAACACUCGUAUCUCCCAACCAUUCCAAAGUUUAAUCACUGUUUCAACGAGCGCCAUUGCUGGUCUCUUACUUUGCCUAAAACAUAAAAUAGUGUUUGCGUCUAUAACUAUAUUUAUUUUGUGAAAUCCCAAAAAGUGAACAUAGGAAGAUGGACAAAGAAAAAAUGAAGAUGAGAGCAUUAACUUUCAAAAUUUCUUUAUUAUUCUAAUUCCAUGAUGUAUUUUUUGUUAUCAAUUUCCUAAUUGAAGAGUUUGUUAAUAUAAGAAUGGUGUAUAUUAAUUAAUAUAAUAGGAUGACAAUAUUAUAUUUUAGAAAAAUAAACAACCAAUGAGAUAUAUAAAUAUAAUAAUUUUAUUAAUUUUUGACAGAUAAUUUUCAUUAGUAAGAUGUUUAGCAAUUAAAAGUUAAUUAAUUUUAAAUAAUAAUAUAGUAAAAAUUGACUAAUUAUAAAGGACAUCUAAUUCCAUAAUCGCAUGUAUAUUAUUAUUUAUUAUAUAUUUACUAUUAUUAAUAUCAUUUAAAUAAAAAAGUUUGCAAUGAAGCGUAUUACUGAUUAAUGGUUAUAUUAGCAAUAUGCUAAAAUUAAAGAAAUUGCAUUUAACUUAUUGACUCUUUUUACAAAAUUUUAUGUUUUGGUUAAUUCUAUAAACCUUAUAAUUUUAUAUGUUACUUCUAAUUAUAUAUGAAAAAUCUCUUCCUAUACACUUGCAAUCACCAUGUAUUUUUAGUUGGAUAUAAAAUUUAUCGAAACUCACUAUUUAUGUUAAUCUUAUAAUUAUUUAAAGUCUCAAAUCAUUUAAUAUAAUACAAAUUCUAGUUUGUGAUAUAGUUAAAUUUAAAUUUUAUGAAGAAUAAUUUUUUUUAUGGAAAGGGGAUUCAAAUCCAUACUUUUAAAUAGAGAGAUCAUGCACUAACUAAUAAGCCAAAUACUCAAGUGCUUAUAAAAAAUAAUUUACUUUAAUUAAAAGUUCAAGGUUAAUAAGAAAAAAGACAGAUAAAAAUUAGACAGUUUAUGCAUCAAUUGUAACAUAUAAAGAAUUCCACUAGAAAAAGUUAACAUAUAAAGAAUUAAUUGAGAGUUAUGUAUGUACACAAUUAUUUACACAAUUUUUAUUUAAAUAUUAAAAGAAUAAGGAGAUUUGAACUCAAACUUUUUUAAAGAAAAAACAUACACUUACUUUUAAGCUAAAUACUCAAAUUCAUUAUUAUAAAGUAAAAUUUUAAAGUACUAAUAUGAUCAAAUCAAAUUGAUUGUGGCUCUAACAUGAUAUUACUUUUGAGUCUUAAUCAAUAAAUCCACUCUCCUGAAAAAUACAACCCCCAAGAAGUGGUGAAGCAGAGUGGAAACUGGCUUGAUGCUUCCUGAACCAAUGCGCCUUUGACUAAAAGGAAUGAAACUUUUAAGUACUAAUAUGAUCAAAUCAAAUAAGUAGGUAAAAAUAUUCCAAUUCCCUAAUCAAAUGCCUUUAAAAAAAAAAUCAAAUAAGCAGGCACACAAUCUAACAUCAUAUUACUCAUGAAGUCCUGAUCAAUUGAUAAUAUUUAUACAUUUCCUAUGAUCAAUAUAACAUCAUUUUCUCCUCGAUCCUCCUUUUGUAGUAGAUCCUGUGUUGCUGCGCAUUAACUGUUUUUUAUAUUUUUCAGUGUUGGGGUGUUGCGGACUUCAUCUGUGCUUAAUCUCAGCUUAUAUUCUGCAUUGGUUUAUAAAGUGUUGCAAGUGAUGAAAUAGUUCUAUCGGUUGGGAUAUUGUUUUAUUUUUGUUUUCUUAGUUUGACUGGUUCAGUUACAGACCUUUUUUCUUAUAAUUGAAAGAAGGAAGAUUUGAACUCUAUUCUCUAUACAUCAAUCAAUGAGUCAAAUAUUUAGGUGUAAAUUCAGUUAUAAACUUGUUUAUAUAUUAAUUUUUUUUUUAAAUGUGAUUUAUUGAAUUGCUUCUAACCCAACACGUCAUAGGUAGUCUUUAGCUAAUUGUCUUAAGACUCCCAAUAACAUAAAAGGUUUGGCUUGAGUGUAAACCUGUACAAUUGCCAACAUUCAACCACACAAAAAGAAAUUGGUGCCUCUUACUAGAAAACUACCUUGCUACUUAAUAAAAUUGAAUUUUGAUUGAGCAAACAAAAAUUAAUAAAAAAACUAUAAAAUAUAUAGUAUUUAGUUAAACUUCAGUCAAAGGGUAAUAUUAUCAUUUUAUAAAAUCAUUAAAAAAAAAGAGGUGGUCAGACAACAAAUGAUACAAUUUCAUUUUUAUAUAAUCAUAUUCAAGGAUAUAAACCUUUUUUUAGUUUUAUGAAGAAAAAAAAAAAAGAAAACUCACCCCCAAGAGCUGGUGAAGGAUUGCUGGAGCCUCCUUUGAAGCUUUCUAAUCAGCCAAUGUGCCUUGAAUUAAAACAAUGAAAGAGACUCAUAAAUUUAUAGCAGUGAAGAAAAAUUCUUUUAAAGGCAUGAAGCAAGGAAUGAUAAGAGAAGAACAAAUUUUGGACGUUUGCUUUGGCAUUAAGUUAUCCAAGUAUCAAGGAAAAGUAAUACAGCAUGUCUCAUGAAAUAAGAGUUCAAAGGAAUACAUCAAGGCUUAUGCUUCAGAAAAUGCAUCUAAAAUAUUAUUAAUUACUCAGAUUUUGUUAAUUAGUGCUCUAAUUAAUUAAGAACAAUUAAUAAAAUGUUAUUUUUUACAUAUUAUAACAAAAUUUAUUAUUUUAAAAUAUUUUAUUUCAAAUGCACUCAUUGAUAAAUAAAAAGAUUGAUGAUUGAAAUACACUUAAUGAAAAUAUUACUUUUGAAAAUAACCUUACAAGCGUAUUUGCAAGAAAUCUUAGGAGUGAAUAUGCCUCCACAUCUAAUUCUAAUUUUCCUUCAAGCAAUUGUUUAUUAGAUUCUCAGGACAGAGCAUGGAAAACGACGACCCCUUUUUUAAUUAUAUAAAGUAAAAAAGAAUUUUAUUUAACGACGAACCUAAUUCUAUUGUUCGUUCGUGUCUUUGUUUGUCUACAACUUACAUGAGAGUCUAAUUAUUUUUCCAAACUGUGAAAGGCCUUACAACUCUAAAAGGUACAACUUCAAUAGUAAUUAAAUUGGUCUAAGACUCCUUCAUAUAAAAUCCAUAUUCCUUCGUAUAAAUAUAUAUCUCAAAUAAAUUUUCAAAUGAUUAGUGGAUUGGUGUUGGUAGAUUGCUCAAGCAAGCCUCUAUUUGAUCAUUUAUUUAUUGUAAAAUGUAAGUUUCUUUAUGUAAAUGAAAAAAAUAUGUAUAAAUGAUAAUUCAUCAAUAUUUUAGUGUAUUUUCUAAUUUUUUUAUAUAAUUAUAUGAAUUAUUAUAAAAACACAUUUCAAGUUUUGCGAUACCAUUUAAAGUAGAUUCCAUGAGUUAGGUGGUUCAACUUGCGAGUUUGGCUUGAAUUGGACCCUUGAUAUUAUUAAUUUAUGAAAUAACAAUCUUUGGGCCAUACCCUAUACAACAAUAAGAGACACUUUUGAUAUUCUUGAAAGGAAAACCGAAAGGCCCCUAGCUAACACUAGCCAAUUGGCCCUAUGGUGUCUGUGGAUUACCGUUGGAGAUUGAGCACUUAAAAAACUUGCCUUGAUGUUUGAAGGCUUCCAUUCAUAGGAUUUUGAGCUUUGAGAUUUUGACAAUUAGGAUUUGAAGGUAUAACAAUAUUUUUACUACUAAUUAAUUACAUUUUCUAUGUUAAACAAACCAAAUAUUUGAUUUUACUAUUGAAAAGGAUUUUAAAUUCCACUGCAAUAGGCUCUUGUUGAUUGCAUGAUUUCCCAACAAUCAUCACUAGACAACCUUUUAAUAUCAGGAGCAACAAUGGAAAGAUGACUAACCAAGGGGCCUUUUCUCAUUUUCCCAACACCCUUAACCACAUCAGCAUACGUUUUGCGCUGAUGAUAGGCCUCAAACCUAGAGCCAUUUUGAAAACAAUCAGAAGACCUAAAAUUCUCAGUCAGUGCAGUCUUAUGAAAUUCGAGGAGAGAGUAUAAGUAGUUAUUCACCACAUGUUGAGCAUUUUAAAGAAAGUCACAAGACUUUUGACGCAGAAAUCUAAUGCUUUCUUAUGGAAAGGCAAAGAUACAAAAGCUACAAGAACUAAAGUUAAUUAGCUGGGACUAAGGUUUCCAUCCAAAGAAUGAAGGGCGUUUAGCGUUUAGGCAUCGAGAAGAUCUCUCCUUGGAAUAAAGCCUGUAUGAUGGAAAACCGUUUGGGCUAUUCUUAUUCAAUCAGGGUCAUAACGUGUUGCUUGCAUCAAAUCUUAUAUAUGCACUAACAGGCAGAAGUCUGUGAUCUAUUCCUCUGUCUAGUGAUUGCUCAUGGGGGUGGAAGAAAAUCUUGAAACUAAGAAACUAUAUCAAACCCUAUGUGCAAAACAUAAUAGAUUAUGGAAAACCCACAGAUUUUUGGUUUGAUUGCUGCCAACCUAAAGGGCCUUUGUUGCUUAUGCACUAUAAUUUCAUGAUCUCUUCCUUUUCAAGUAAAAAUGGUAACUGCACUUGAGUAUUUAACUCAUUGAUUGAUACAUGAUCCAUUGUCUAAAAAAUAAUAUUCGAAUCCUCUUCUCCAAUUAAAAAAAAAUAAAAGGGACAACUGUAGUUAAUGUUGCACUCUUCCCUUUCAAGCAGAAAGGAACAAUUGUCAUUAAUGCUGCAAGUUUGGUUUGGCCUUUGGCUAGAUCAGAUGAUUUAGUAGAGACUCAAUGCUCCUCAUAUGAUGUUAUUAUUCUUAAUCCGAGACGGAAAGAUGAAGCCAUCUGGACUUAGUCUAGCAAUGGAAUGGGAAGUUUACAAUCUCUAGUACUUUGAAUAUCGUUAGACAUAGAAAACCAUCUUCUCUUGAGCCUUAUAGAGAAGAAACACUGCUUACCUGUUACUUGAAGAAGAAUACAAUCGUUCGAGAGAUUUUAAUAAUUUAGAUAGAUGACAUGAUUUUGAGGUCGAGACAGGAAAGGGGCAUGAGAUCAGGGUAGGGGAUUUGCAUUCAUAGCUCUAUCUUUAUACAUGUACAAAUUAAAUUCAAAUUAUACUUAAAUGACUCUUAAUUAUCAAAUCAAUAUAUAAUUAAUGACAUUCAAUAAAAGAAACAAAUUAGCAAAUCAACGUAUUAGUAUAUAGUUAAAAAUUAGUCAAAAUACCCACCAAGUUCUGUACCCAUGCAUUUUAUUCAUUUAGUCUCUGUACUCAAAAUCGAAACAAUUUAAUUCCUUGAUUUUAGCAAUUGAUAUAAUUUAGUCCCUCUCACUAACGGUAUUGAAUUUUACUGUUAAAAAGAUGAUGUCAGCACUGACAUCAACAUUGAUGUGACAUAUUUUGCUGGUGUGGCAUCGACUUGAUGACAUGGCAGCGCCAUGUGGCCCUAAUAUGUUGUCGUGUCAGUGCCACAUGGUAGAUAAAAAAAUUUUUAUGCUACGUUAUAGAGAUUAAAUUGAAUAAAAAUAUAUACUAUAUGGACUAAAUUGAACAAAAUUGAGAUUUUGAGGAACUAAAUUGAAAAAAAUAUUUAAAAAUUAUAAAUCUUUAAGUAGAUGAUAGAUAUACUUAUUAAUAAGUUAAAUAUUUAAGUACAAAAGAUUUAUGGUGUUAUAAAUAUAUAUAAAUAUUUUCUUACUUGAUUAUUUGAUUGUAAAAUAUGUAUAUUAAUUUAUCUUCUUUACAAAAAUUAAGUUUGAAUUCUCCUUCUAUAAAAAAAAUUUCAAAAAAAUUUUCAUACAUAAAGUCAAAUUUAGAUGAAUAACUUGCAUUAUGUUGAAAUAAAAUAAUAUAAAAAACUAAAUAAUUUUUUCUUUUAUUAUAAUAGCACAAAAAUUUGAAAUUUAUUUGACUUAACUUUUAACUUGAGUUGAAAUUAAAUUAGCAUAGUGAGUUGACUUAGUUUUUUGUUUGAAAAAAAUGAAAAAGGGAGAUAUAGAGUUAGCGAUGAUUAUAAAAAUAAUUCUUCAUUCUGACUUACUUAAUUUGGACAUGACAAACCUCUUAUUAUAAUCAUAAAAUCCGAGUUACUUCACCUCUUCAAUUUUUUAUAUAUUUUUUAUGUUUUUGUUUUAUCUAAUAUGUCAGGUUAUAUUCUUUAGGUUGAAAUUUCUUAGAUUAAAGACUGUAUUUAUGGUUGAUAGAGUUAAAUAUAAUUGUAAAUAUUUAUACAAUUUUAUAUUGUAUUUACAAAUUUUUUGUAGAUCUAAAGUUCACGAAUUAAAUUGUUACAACCGUAUCCCUGACGUUGAUCAAGGAUAAGGCCUGCAAAUAAAAAUUUUAGCCUCUUGAACAAGCUAUCAACUCGAAGUAGGAAGGGGUCAACAAAUAGGGCAGCUCCAAAUAUAUCUGCGUCGUUGUAUAGGUAUAAACGUAACAAAUUGUGUAAUGAGGAAGUUCUAAACUGCUUCGCGCUUGAGGUCAUGAGCACGUAAGUCCUUUCCCCAUACUUGAUAAGUCCUGCAAUGAACACUGGAAUUGCUAUACACGAGAAGGUGGUGUCACGGUCAACCCAAGACCUCAAUAACGCAUAAAUUGCAACUCCAACAUUGAAAAGCGCAUUAAUAUGAUUCUAGCAUUGAAAAGCUGUACAUUAAUAUGAUCCUCAACACCUUAGCAUUGUAAGUUGUUAGUUGUAUUGUUGCAGGAAAUACCUGACGCAAAUGAUAGAAUUAAUCAUGUGUGUUUCUUUGCGUGGUGGUUGGUGGUUGCUUUUGAAAUUGUGUUUGGCAGUAUUCUCGUACAGGGAUUCUCACCGGUCUUAUUUAGAUAUUAAGAGGUGAUUGCUUUAUGGUUGAUUUUGGUCGUAAGCUUGUAUUGGCGGGAGGUGUUUUGGGCGGGUUUUGUUUUGCUUUGAAUUCAUCUAUGAGGCUGUGUGUGUAAUGGGAUUGUACUUGGGCAGGUGGCGAAACAGGGGGUUUGUUGCAUUUUUUUAGUGGGGAUCUGGGUGGGACAAUGGGGCAAUAUAGUGACUGAUUUGGUUUUGUUGGGGUGAGGUUUCUUCCAAAAGUUACGGCUGUCUCGUGGUUCUCGUUAUAUGAUUACAGUGGUGUUGUGAGUUUUUUGCAAGGGAUAUAAUUUGGAAGAGUUUUCUUGGCAGCAGGGGCGCAAAUCUGAUUCCACGUUGUCUUUAGGAUACGUUCACUCGGCAGGAUUUGGAUGUUUACUGCCUAGGUUGGAUUCUUAGUGUUGUUUUUGAUGGCUAGGGCUAUGGAAAUUGCUGUUAUAGGACUAUGGUGUUUGUAUCAAGUGCUUUGCUCCUUGCCUUGAGCAAUUCCUCUCAUAUGAACUGUCUCUUUUCAUGACUUGGCUUUAUGCAAAGUUUUAUGUAUCACAGUGAUGUUUAUAAAAUAAUCUUUGACUGAGUAAACAAUAAAUAAACGGUAAAACUAAAUAUCAAAACUCAAGUGUUUUAUUGAAUAAUUUUGACAAUAUAAAUCAUUGAAUAUCUAAUAGAAAUGUGCUCAAAUUAUAAGAUCUAAAAUGAAAUACUUCACUUUAAAUAUAUGAAUGCGCUGAAAUUACAAUGAUAUAUUAAAAACAAAAUCCUUAAGAUGGUAUAAAAUGAUUAUUUUAUGUCAACAACUAUUUCUUCGAGUUCAAAAUUUGACACAUAAGUAUACAUGUUAAAAAAUGCCAUUAACAGAUAAUUAAGCUUCAAUUUUUGAAUGAUCCUAUGGUUGACGAUGAUGACUGAUCUUAAUUCUUUCCCACCAUGUCAAUAACUUCUUCUUAGGGAGUUGGCGAAGGGAUAAUUGCCCAUCUCGGUAUUGGCCACUGAUGCCAAAAUGUGCCAUAAGAAGGCAAACGUGAGUGAGCAGUUGUCCGCCUUUGGCGAGUUGGCGACCAUGCUCUUUCCAUCCACAAUGACCUGCGGCAUAUGUCAAUAGUUCUACCCACACUUUAUUCAUCAUCUCCCACUUUUCUUUCCUUCCCCGGUUUCUCUUGUUCAGAUUUUGCAAUUGUUUCGCAAGAUCGCGACCCUUCAAAAGGAUACUAGACUCAUCAGAUCGAAGUUCUUCCAAUUUUGGACCCCCUUCAAGCAACUCUUGGUAGGCUUUUUCUAUUUGUAUGUCUCUCUUUUCUUUAAAAAAAUCGAAGACCUCCUCACAGGCCUUUCUGUAUCUUAUUUCACCAAUCCCUUUGGGCAACAUUUUUGAACGCAAGACGAAAAGAUAAAGCAUGUACUCCGAUAGGCAUCUGCUGAUUUUGCUGUAUUCAUUAAUGAGACUAUAGAGAUCAGUUGUCUUAAUAUCAUCAUAGUAACAGAGCUGGGUAGCAAUGUGCCAAAGAAGAAUGCUUUCGUCAAAUUCUACAUCAACGGUGCUCCAUUUAAGCUCAUCAAGGAGCUUCAUUUCAUUAAGUACACAUUCACCUCUGUAAUUCAAUACUUUGCUGCUUAAUUCGGUAUUAUCGAAAUCUUCAAGCUCUUUAGUUCUCCUAUCUAGUUGAUGGAAGAUAAGGCAUUUUAGAUCGUCAUCUAUCCCUUGCUGCCAUUCCACAUUCUGAUGCUUCUCUAACAUUUCAUAGAUGCCAAGUAACUUUUUAACUAUAAUCCACUUGGUUGCCUCCUUUUGAAGGCAAAAGCUCACAAGGUUGCACUUGGCUAUGCUUCUAGACCACCUCCUACCCUUUCUCACUCGUUUUAAAUGACAUUUUUUUUGCACAACUAGCCAAAGCUUUAGCCAGUCAGAGGAAGUAAGCAUGAGCAGCGCAUAAACCUCCAGAACAACAGCUCCAACCAGCAAUAGGUAAGUUACGAACCUGUCCACCGGUGAGUAUUCAUGCUCAUCGAUGAUGAUUGAGAAGGUAACCAAUGCAGAAACAGAGGCCAAACAAGUAAUGCAGCGGAAAAAGAUACCAAAACAUGAGUAGACUAGUCUUGCUUUGGUGUAGAGCAAAUCAUACAAAAGUCCCAGCUCAUAUUCUACCACUUCGAAGGCCACUCUUGGUUCAAGUUCACGAAUUAAUUUGUUGCAAAGGUAUCUCUGAUUUUGAUCGAGGAGAAGGUCUGCAAAUAAAAAUUUUAGCCUCUUGAACAAGCUAUCAACUCGAAGUAGGAACGAGUCAGCUCUAAACAUUUCUGCCCCGCUGUCUUCAUAUAAACGUAACAAAUUGUCUAAUGAGGAAGUUCUAAACUGCUUCGUGCUUGAGGACAUGAGCACGUAAGUCCUUUCCCCAUACUUGAUAAUUCCUGCAAUGAACACUGGAAUGGCUAUACACGAGAAGGUAGUGUCACCGUCAACCCAAGACCUCAAUAACACAUAAAUUGCAACUCCAAUCUCAAAAACGAGGCCAACAAAAUGCCUUAGCCACAACUCAUUGUCUUCUAAGGAGUAAGCAGUAAUAGUGUCUGGGCCACCGAGGUGCAAGAGAAGGAAUGGAGCCCAAAAUGACUGGAGUGAGUGGUUUUGAUUCGGAGCAUUACUUCCCAGGGACCUGGCAAGAAUGCCCAAUGCAACAGUUGCCAC